rnacentral:rRNA from 1 species
GAUGAACGCUGGCGGCGUGCCUAAUACAUGCAAGUCGAGCGAACGGACGAGAAGCUUGCUUCUCUGAUGUUAGCGGCGGACGGGUGAGUAACACGUGGAUAACCUACCUAUAAGACUGGGAUAACUUCGGGAAACCGGAGCUAAUACCGGAUAAUAUUUUGAACCGCAUGGUUCAAAAGUGAAAGACGGUCUUGCUGUCACUUAUAGAUGGAUCCGCGCUGCAUUAGCUAGUUGGUAAGGUAACGGCUUACCAAGGCAACGAUGCAUAGCCGACCUGAGAGGGUGAUCGGCCACACUGGAACUGAGACACGGUCCAGACUCCUACGGGAGGCAGCAGUAGGGAAUCUUCCGCAAUGGGCGAAAGCCUGACGGAGCAACGCCGCGUGAGUGAUGAAGGUCUUCGGAUCGUAAAACUCUGUUAUUAGGGAAGAACAUAUGUGUAAGUAACUGUGCACAUCUUGACGGUACCUAAUCAGAAAGCCACGGCUAACUACGUGCCAGCAGCCGCGGUAAUACGUAGGAGGCAAGCGUUAUCCGGAAUUAUUGGGCGUAAAGCGCGCGUAGGCGGUUUUUUAAGUCUGAUGUGAAAGCCCACGGCUCAACCGUGGAGGGUCAUUGGAAACUGGAAAACUUGAGUGCAGAAGAGGAAAGUGGAAUUCCAUGUGUAGCGGUGAAAUGCGCAGAGAUAUGGAGGAACACCAGUGGCGAAGGCGACUUUCUGGUCUGUAACUGACGCCGGUGUGCGAAAGCGUGGGGAUCAAACAGGAUUAGAUACCCUGGUAGUCCACGCCGUAAACGAUGAGUGCUAAGUGUUAGGGGGUUUCCGCCCCUUAGUGCUGCAGCUAACGCAUUAAGCACUCCGCCUGGGGAGUACGACCGCAAGGUUGAAACUCAAAGGAAUUGACGGGGACCCGCACAAGCGGUGGAGCAUGUGGUUUAAUUCGAAGCAACGCGAAGAACCUUACCAAAUCUUGACAUCCUUUGACAACUCUAGAGAUAGAGCCUUCCCCUUCGGGGGACAAAGUGACAGGUGGUGCAUGGUUGUCGUCAGCUCGUGUCGUGAGAUGUUGGGUUAAGUCCCGCAACGAGCGCAACCCUUAAGCUUAGUUGCCAUCAUUAAGUUGGGCACUCUAAGUUGACUGCCGGUGACAAACCGGAGGAAGGUGGGGAUGACGUCAAAUCAUCAUGCCCCUUAUGAUUUGGGCUACACACGUGCUACAAUGGACAAUACAAAGGGCAGCGAAACCGCGAGGUCAAGCAAAUCCCAUAAAGUUGUUCUCAGUUCGGAUUGUAGUCUGCAACUCGACUACAUGAAGCUGGAAUCGCUAGUAAUCGUAGAUCAGCAUGCUACGGUGAAUACGUUCCCGGGUCU